rnacentral:rRNA from 1 species
AGUGAACGCUGGCGGUAGGCCUAACACAUGCAAGUCGAACGGCAGCACAGGAGAGCUUGCUCUCUGGGUGGCGAGUGGCGGACGGGUGAGGAAUACAUCGGAAUCUACUCUGUCGUGGGGGAUAACGUAGGGAAACUUACGCUAAUACCGCAUACGACCUACGGGUGAAAGCAGGGGACCUUCGGGCCUUGCGCGAUUGAAUGAGCCGAUGUCGGAUUAGCUAGUUGGCGGGGUAAGGGCCCACCAAGGCGACGAUCCGUAGCUGGUCUGAGAGGAUGAUCAGCCACACUGGAACUGAGACACGGUCCAGACUCCUACGGGAGGCAGCAGUGGGGAAUAUUGGACAAUGGGCGCAAGCCUGGUUCAGCCAUACCGCGUGGGUGAAGAAGGCCUUCGGGUUGUAAAGCCCUUUUGUUGGGAAAGAAAUCCAGCUGGCUAAUACCCGGUUGGGAUGACGGUACCCAAAGAAUAAGCACCGGCUAACUUCGUGCCAGCAGCCGCGGUAA